rnacentral:sRNA from 1 species
GCCGGGCCUGGUGGCGGGCGCCUGUAGUCCCAACUGCUCUGGAGGCUGAGGUAGGAGAAUGGUGUGAACCCAGGAGGCGGAGCUUGCAGUGAGCCGAGAGUGCACCACUGCGCCCCAGCCUGGGUGACAGAGCGAGACUCCGUUUCUUUUUUUUUUUUUUGAGACGGAGUCUGGCUCUGUCACCCAGGCCGGAGUGCAGUGGUACGAUCUCGGCUCACUGCAAGCUCCGCCUCCGGGUUUACGCCAUUCUCCUGCCUCAG